CUUCGCCGCCCACCGCCAAUCAGCGCGCGUUCUGCCUGUUCCGUUCUGCGCGCUCAAAACGCGCAGGCGGCCAAUUGGUGCCUUUUGGGGAGUUAUUAAGGGACCGGAGCUAACGAGGAAUUCGAAAGACGGGCGAGGAAACGUUAUUUGGCAAGCAUAAAAGUCCCACGUCACGUGCAGCUCAGUUUUAACUUUCUACACUGGCUUAAUAAAUGAAAUCCCUGCAGAGUUUCGAAGAACGUUCAGCAAAUCUGAGGUGAAGCUUCUGCAACUAGCUUCUGUCUCCCUCUUUCCGUCUAGACAGAACAGGAAGGCCCCUUAGUCGACAGAAGGAAUGUUACUUUUAAAGUACAUGGCUUCCCGCAAAGAAUCCUGAGAGCUGUAGUUUCCCCCAUUAAAAAAAAAAGUAAACGUAAAGGAUUGACAGUUAUGUCCAGCUGCGAACGACUCUGGGGUUGCAGCGCUCAUCUCGCUUUACUGGCCGGCGUUUGUCUGCAGACAGUUUUUCUGGGUCAUGUGGCCAGCAUGACUAAGCCGCUUUUGGCGCAACAGAACACCAAAAUCAGAGCAGCACGCAGAAAUGCCUGUUUACCUUCCCCUCCAGACAAGUACCUUUUUAUCUGCUUGCACUUUUUGGCGUGCUUUGGACCUGCUAGGUUGGCAGGAGCUGGGACCGAACAACAGGAGCUAACCCCGUCACAGGGAUUCGAACCACCGACCUUCCAAUCGGCAAGCCCUAGGCUCAGUGUUUUAGACCACAGCGCCACCCAUUUCCCUUAGUUUUCCCCAUUACAGAGACACAGUUCCCAGCACCCUUAAACUACAGUUCCCAGAAUUCUUUGAAGAAAGCCAUAGAUCUUAAAUGUAUGAUGUGGAGCGGGGCGGGGGGGGGGGGAGGCGGGAUAUGCUACCCUAAAACAAGGCAAGGUAACAUCUUUAUAACCUGCUCUGCUUCUUUAUCAGUAUAUGAGCAGCACCAUUUCUCUGGCUGUAUCUUCACUGCCACCAGUGCCCCCCACGUCCUAUUGUUAGCCCUCAACUUUUCCUUAACCCUUGUCUUUUCAGUAAUUGCAAUACCUUUUUUGCAGUAUUGCAUCAUAUCUGUGUUAGGCACAGCAGCUCCUAGUACCAAAUAUACACAAAAUUGCUGUGCAGCAUAUUUAUAAAUGGCAUAUACAAUAUUUUGAUGAGAAAUAGCUCAGUAGCCACAAGUUGAUUAUCACGGUCAUGGACUGUUUGGAUGCAGAGGAGGGGUGGGAGGUGCCACCAGCUGGGGAGCUCCCAAAGGAACCCCCAUGCGAAGAAAGCUCAGAGCCAGGGGAUUGGUGGUGGGAUGAUGAUGAGUGGUCAGAGGGAGAAGAGGGGGCAGUCUGGGAGAUGUCAGAAACUGAAGAGGCAACAGGGUUUAGUGAGCAGUAAGAGGCUAUGGCAGAGGGCAGUCCAGACUCAGAGGCAGAAGUAGAGGCUGGAGAGGAGUGGGGACAGGCUGCUGAAGAAGCCAGGGGGUCUCUCCCUCCUGCUGUGACCGGCUCACCUUCCCGCUGGUUUCCCAGAACACGCAGAGAAAUGAAGAGGGCAGAGCAAAGAGAGACAAGACAAUCCUGAGAUUGCUUGGGAGGGAUCUGGGGGAGGAAGAUUCUUAGGGAAAGGUGGGGAGGCAGGGACCCUCAGUCCUUGCAACUACCUCAUUGGGGCAAGAUCUCAGAGCCGUAGCUAGGUGAUCUUGCGCCCCUGGCAGAACUGUCCAGAUUGCGCCCCCAGCCACUGACAAAUUGCUCUUCUUUCCGCCUCUCCUCCAACCCACCCACCCCAUUCAAUUCACCCUUGCGGGGCCCCACCUUGCCACCCCCUAGCUAUGGCCCUGCAAGACCUACUGGAGUUGCUGUGAUCGCUAGGCCUACACUGUUUUGGUUUCUUUGAAUAAAGAGUUAACUUCACUGACACUGGGUGUUUUAUUGCUGAUCUGUUCCCGACAAGUAUAGCAAGUUUGUAUUUAAGUUUGUUGGUAGUACAAACUUAACAUUGCCUUGCUAUACUUGAUAGUUAACUUAUGGCUGUUGAAUUAUUAGUUUAAAGCUGUGUACACAUUAAUGUUUGCUCUGAUUCUAGUGAGCUCCCAUGGCUGACAUUUGAAGCUACAAUGUGUGUCGCAGGUGUGAAGCAACCAAGCUGAUAAUGUGCAUCAGGUGACGACAAUCCCCACCCUCUCUCUGGUAUGUACAGCAACAUAAAAUGUGACUUAAACUGUGAGGUGUAUGUGUGAUCUCACUAUGUUUUAAGAUACUAAUGUGUAUAUAGCCUAAGUCAGGGGUAGAGAACCUGUGGCCCUCCAAAUCAGCUCCUACUAGCAUGGACAAUGGUCAGGGAUAAUGGGAGUUGUAGUCCAACAGCACGCGGCGGGCCACAGAUUUCUUCACCUAUGGUUCAAACGAUGGUUUGGGAUUUCGGGAUUGCACUUGCGAGUUCUUGUUAGCCAGGAAUGAAGUGAUUAUGCAAGGCCACUGAGUAUGUUGCUUUCCUUGACUUCAGUAUUAGUUUGAGGUACAAAAGUGUCCCUCAGAAAUACCGAAAACCCUCCAAACAGUGUGUACAUGCCUAGAUGGCAUAGAUAAUGGCAAAGAUGCUAGGGUUGUCAACUGUCACCCAUAUGGGGUUGCUAUAGCUAAUUCCACAAAGGGUGGAAUUGCAGCAUAGCUCUAAAGCAAUUGUUCUGUCAUUGCAAGAAUUUCUGUUUGUGCAAUGGAAGAUUCUCUCAUGGGCCCUCUAAAUCUAUGCUAGGGGUUCUCUCAACUCUCUAGAGCAAAAAUCCUUGUGCUGGUGUAACUCAGUGUAUUCUUAAGCCUUAUGGGUUGUAUUCUACUAUCUGCAUCAUUUUAUGAAAAAGCUGGCUGCUUUUCAGCUUUAGAUGGACUUUAUGUGGGACAUGGAGACGAAACAUGGUCUUGUGAAAUUACACAGCCCAACGUCAGAUUCAAUUGGGUUGCUGUCCCCUGCGUGCACAGUAUCAGAGCACCAAGACAUUCUGAUCUGGGUGCUUACCGUACUGGCACACUAGCACGGCAAAAGUCAGUACAGGGGAACCUGACUUAAAGGUGACAGCACCCAUCUGCUGUAACUGUAAGGACAGAUUUAAAUCAGGCCUAAGAAAGAGCAGUUUAAUCUCAAAACGCAACUACACCUCAACAAGAUAUGAGGUCUGCUUGUGCAGUGUGGGUCACUGUCUGCUGCCUAAAUUCCCUGAUCAGCAUUUGGACAAAUCACUAUGAAUCCCUCAUCCCCUUCUUUGCACUAACAGUUGCAUUUCUGGCUAGAAGCAUGCAGUACAAUAUAGCAAUGUUACAGUUUUGCUAGCAAAACAGAUUUGGAGAUAAAGGUCUAUGGAGCCUAUGGAGUUAAAUGUAUAUACAGUGGUACCUCAGGUUACAGAUGCUUCAGGUUGCAGUCUCCGCUAACUCAGAAAUAGUACCUCGGAUUAAGAACUUUGCUUCAGGAUGAGAACAGAAAUUGUGCUCCAGCGGCGUGGCGGCGGUGGGAGGCCCCAUUAGCUAAAAUGGUACCUCAGGUUAAGAGCAGUUUCAGGUUAAGAAUGGACCUCCAGAACGAAUUAAGUUCUUAACCCGAGGUACCACUGUAUUGUAUACAAAUGGGGUUUGGGCCUCCUUACCACUUAAUCUGAUGUUCAGUUGAGUACAUCCAUGAGCGUUGAUUUCAGUGGGCAUAAAUACAGUAUGCCUGUGUGCAUAUGAUUCAACCCUGGAGGUUUUAAUAGACCAACAGCUGCACAUGGCCUUGUGCUCAGGCACUCUAUACCUUCUUAAUCCCAGCUGCAGCUUCACUCUCAAGCUCCAUCUGCCGACAUUCAAACAUGGAGGGAGAUCAACACUUAUCCAUACUAGGUUUGCCAACUACUGUGCUAUGCAGGUGGGGAGGAAUUGUUCAGGACAACCUAUGCAUUUGUGUUCUACCCCCUGCCCCCAGAUCUGCCUUUUACCAUAAUGUAGGGCUGUUGAGAGGCAUUCUUGCAAGUUUUAGCCCACACCUAUCCCUGUUUUCUCCAAAAUAAGUUAAAGUGAUCUCAAUUAGAUUUCCUUCCAGGUAAGUAAGCUAAGGAAAUCUAUUCACCAUCAUCCAUCAUCCCUUAUGUCCCUGAUGGGUUAACACACUUAUUGCAUCUCAGCUGUCAAACCUGUCAGAGCCAAUGCUUUGGCUCCCAGCUGCUGGCUGGUUGGAAUGGCAAUGAAGUCAGUAUCCUGGUCCCACCAGCAGAGAGCAGGAGUCAUCCUUAUCUGAGCUGCAGUACUUGUGCUGAUGAAUCUGGGCUGGGAGUGACUUGGUUAGGGGGCAGAACAGUGGAAGGGCUCCCAGAAGUUCCCAGUUGGCUCAGAUUAAGACCGACCUAGCAUAAGACAUGUGGCAACUGAUAUCCAUCCACAUAUACAGAAACCUUGUGUGUAUGCAUACAUGUGUAUUGCCACGUGCAUUAAAAAUGCAACUAUGCAGCAGAGAAAAGUAAGCCUUUCCUCUGGGUACCCCAGCAGAUUAUUUUUGCUGCACACCCACACAGUUCCACACAUGCACGCCCAAAGGAAACAGCUUGAAAAUAAGCCUCCCAUAUGCACAAACCCUUUCUCUCACCGAGACAUUUGCAUCCUCCCAUGGUGUGCUCCUAUUAUAUUAAUGGUAGAAAUAAUCGCGCUUAUCUCUAGAGUAACCUUGAGAUUCCUGUGUAGUGUUUGUCAUAGUAAUGAUCAUAAUUGUUAUGUUAUUUAUAUAGCCCCCCACCUAUGCCAAUUGGUGCCUGGGGAGCUUAAUAUCAAAAUUCAACAAUAAAAUACAACAAGGCCACACUAGAAAUCUAUAUUUUUAUAUAUAAAAACGUUUCUGGUUUUUUUUAAUAAAGAGAGAGCAUGUGACGAGACAUAUGGUUCAAAUCCCUCACAUCCCUGCAAAGCUGCUUGUGGCUAAAAGCCCGUCAAGAGAGAGAAACCACAGGCUUGUAAUGUCUGCAGGUAAGUGGUUAGAUAGCAGAUGGUCUACACCAAUUAAUAUCUGACCACAAACGAGAGGGUAGCAUGUUAGGAAGCUCCUAGGCAUUCGUGCAUCCCCCCACAUGCCCAGUACAGCUACAUAAAGCACUCCCACCCCAGCACACUUGAACAACAGAAUAUUAAAGCACACAUCUUGAAGGCUGAAGCUGCAAUCCAGCACAGAGUUGAGUGUUCUCAAGGUGUGCCUAAAUUGUGACCCGCGUGACUCUUCCUACCUCCAGCAAGUGGCAUCCCGGCUACCACUAAGAGAAGUAACCGGGGUUCCUACUUGUGUGUGCUAGAUGCUGUGUGGUGCAAGUCAGACUUCCUUAGCAACAUCCACUAUAGUGCUGGAGACUAGAGAAAGGGGAAGAAAGAGUGGGAGAGGGUAAGGAAGGAACUAAUGGAAGGGAGGCUGAGGAAGUAACAGCAUAAAGAAUGUGACAAAGAGCUGGAGAGGAAUGUGCAUGGGGGAGGACUCUGCAAAAACACUGCAUCAGACUAAAAGUAGAACAGAAGCUAUGUUCCUUGGAAUUCACAGCUCUCUGGCAGCAAGCAACAGAAACCCCCUAAUUCUCAGAGUAUUAAGUAAACAAGGAAAAGAACAAUGAAAGUCCUUGGAAGGAAUCCAUCCCAAUAUGAUGGAUUAAUAGAGGUCUUGGAGGAGAGAUGUUUCCCUUCCCAGUUACUGAUCCCUACCCCAUCAUUUAAUAUGUACAUUUAAGAUAGGCACUCACCAUGAGCAUUGCUAACUGACCAAUCACUGACCAAUCACAUCGGUUCUGCCCCCUAACAAAAUUUCUGGCUACGCCCAUGGCACUCACCAAAGGCACAUUAACUCCCGUACAAACCCUCAAAUCUACAAGUGGCAGGACAUGCAGACAAGGCGUCAAGGAAACACCGAGAAAUAGUCACACACAGUGCUUCAGGGUUUCAAGUACUUUGGAACUGCAAGAAAGAGAUGUCUGAAGCAAUUUGGAAAGAACUGAUUGAAUUUUCAUUCUGCGAUGGAAUUGAAAUAUAGCAAAAGGGACUGUGAAGUGAAAGAUGAAACCCAAAGCCCAGCUCUUCCCCGACUACAGUCCAACUUGUACUUGCUCAGAAGCACAGCGUUCCCACACCUUGGCAGAGGCCCCUUUAUGUGGUAUAAUUAGCCACAGCCUUGCAACACAAUCAGAUUGUUGGUUUCACUAAUAGCCUGGAAUUAUGUCAAUUUGGAGCCAUUUCGGAAAGAUCCGUGAGAGCAGGGGAAAUGUUAAUAAGGAGCCUGCACUGUUGCUAAUGGACUGCAGGGGGAGGGCUGUGUGAUGGCCCAUCUGCAUCUGGGACUUGAUAACAUGCAAGGUUCUUGGGGGUGAAAACUAGAGGCACAGGCUAAUCAGGUGACCUAGGAAUCUCCCAAUAUGUUAAUGAAGAUUUCUGAAUAAACAGAAUCCUUGUAGAGUGGUACCUUGGUUCUCAAACUUAAUCCGUUCCAGAAGUCUGUUCCAAAACCAAAGCAUUCCAAAACCAAGGUGCGCUUUCCCAUAGAAAGUAAUGCAAAAUGGAUUAAUACAUUCCAGACUUUUAAAAGCAACCCCUAAAACAGCAGUUUAACAUGAAUUUUACUAACAAGACCAUUGAGCCAUAAAAUGAAAGCAAUAAACAAUGUACUGCAGUCACACAAUCAGUAGCUGAACUGGGUUCCACACAGUCAAAAAAACAAAACAAAGAAGCCGCAAAAACACAAAAUAAAUAGCAAAAAUAGUCCUCAGCAUAACACUCAAAACGGAGCACAUUCGGCUUCCAAAAAAAGUUCGCAAACCGGAACAUUUACUUCUGGGUUUGCAGUGUUUGGGUUCCAAGUUGUUUGAGUACCAAGGCGUUUGAGAACCACGGUACCACUGUAUGAAUCUUUCCCAGCAGAAGCACCACCUAGGAGAGGCUCAGUGAGAAGCACUACCUAGGAGAGGGGUGACCAACAAGGUGUUAUCUGGAUGUCCCAUCAUCCCUCACCAUUGGUCAUACUGCCUGGGACAGAUGGGACUUGGAGUCCAACAGGCUCUAGAGUGCCCUGCAUUAGCUACCCUAUCUUAGAAAACAAGGUUCACUUGAAAGUUGCCCCAGCCCAGGGUGGACUUCACUUGGCCUCAGUGAACCUCAUGGAGAAGCGCUUUUAGCCAACCUUCAAGAAACAGAGGCGAGCAGCUGUGGAUUGUAUCCUGCAGACUUGGUUCCAAACCCUUUCACCAAGCAGCUAGAACCAGUUCACCACCAGAACAUGGAACAUUCCCCGUCCUCUUUCCAGACGAGUAGCAAUUGCUGCAUGAAGAUAAACAUUUCGACUCGGGGUGCUCAGUGCUCUGAACAAAAAGAAAUGACCACUGAUUUAGUUGGUUGUAAAAAGGCACCAGAAUCCAGCACCAGCCUCUCAGUUGCUGUUCCGACGCCAUCUAAUCUCCUGCGAUUCCAUCUUUGGGCUGCCAGUUCCAGCUCAUUGAUGCCCUUGCCUUCUGCAGAUGAGCCCAGCAGUGUGUCUCCAAGCUACAAGUCCCCACCUACAAUCUUCCUGACAUCUCAGCCAUGGCCUCGCUAUAGUCCUGUGAGAUCUGGCAGUGUCGAAGGGAGAAAAAUAUCCUCAGAUAGCCUGUUAUUAGGAGAGGACCAUUACACUGCAGCAAGAAGCAGAAAUGAAUUUAAUGAGAUGGGGCUGUUGCUACAGCUGUGCGGGAUCCCACUUUUUAGGCUGCGUCUCCAGUCUAUGGGCACCAGAUGACAGCGCUCUGCCACAGCCUCAGCUCCUUGGCUGACACGGACUCUUCUCUCCUUGAUGUGCUAAAAUCUCAGAAGGGGCACUUGAUUCAGGAGGUCUUCAGGUUUCACAUUUCAGACUUGGGUGCACCCCUUUAGAUGCUUUGGUGGCAGCUGUAUUUGACCGGGUUUCUCCUUGACUGUUCUUGCUGAUGUAAAAAGUCGAAGCAUAAGAAGCUCCUGGGGCAACCGAUGAAGAGGCAAAACCCAGUUUCCAUGGUCGAACACAAGAGGGUGCUGCUGAGACACUCUGGGAAACAAGGAGACGGGUGGGAGGAAAGCAUCUCUCCAUAUCAAUUUAUUUAUUUUUUAAUGAAAGCCUCCGCUUUGUGGUCUUCUUAUUGAGAAAUUACCACGUUUCCUGUGGGAAAUUGGAAGAUGGGCGAAGAUUUUCUUUAUUUCACACACCAGGGCUGUUUUCCAAUAAUAAACUUGCAGACUUGGAAGACAAUCAACGCUCUCCCCGCCCCCCAUUCCUUCCACUUUAAUAAUUCUUGCUAUAUUCCUUUAAUUUUGAUGUUUUAAAUGUGUAACUGAAUCCCCGCUGAGCGCUCUCUGCACAAAAUUUAAAAUAUAUAUCACUAAGUGCCAACAUGGAGGCUCACAUUGCAUAAUGACGAACAGUCACCCAUAUUAUCAGCGCACACCAUAUACAUCCAGCAGGGCAGGUCUUUGCCAGGGGCACAUCCAGCACAUGGGAAAGCCCAUGGCUUCCUCCAAAGAAUACUGGGAAGUGUAGUUUGUUUAGGGUGCUAAAAAUUGCACCUCAGUGGGGACAAACUACAGUUCCCAAUAUUCUUUGCGGCAGGGGUGUGUGCUUUAAAUCUAUGGUGUGGGUGUGGCCAUAAGGAACUGCUGCGUGUAUGUGACCUCUGGGUAUGAGGUGCCUUCCCCACCAUUGCCCCAGCUUCAUUUUACGUCAAUUGGUUCUCCUUCCUCUGUUCCUGUGCUCUUCUUUGUGCCGUCUGAAGCAGGUAUAGACAACAGACAAAAGGCAUAUAUGGGGUGUUAUCUCUGUGAGGAAAUCUGCAGGAACUUCAUGGGGUCCAGUCUUCGGUGUGCCUGUCUGUUUACUUAUCCUCACAAGGAAGUGCCUCAGCCUGCUCUUUGAAGGGGGCAAACCUGCAAGUACAAUGGUUCUCCUCAUGUCACAAGAAACAGUCCCUUUCAUGGGGGACUGAGGGCCAAAGAAUCCUGUGAUACUUUCUCAACAAGGUUUUCAAUCAGUCAGUCAAACAAAAAAAAACAAAUAGCAGAGGCUGCAUCCGCACCAUACAUUUAAAGCCCAUUGCUUCACUCAAAGAAUCCUGGGGACUGUAUUUCACUCCUCACAGAGCUGCAAUUCCCAGCAUCCUUCACAAGCUACAGUUGCCAGGAUUCUUUGGGGGAAGCCGCAUGCUUUAAAUAUGCUUCAAGUAUGCUUUAAAUGUUGGGUGAGGUUGGUUACAGAGUCCCCAGUUCAAAUCUGACCCUUAUCACAAACUCAGCAGGUGGUCUUCUGCAAAAUACUAUCUGUCAUCCUCAUCACUUUCUAUAAUGCAGGGAUAAUAAUCCCAGCUUACUUUUCAAGGUUGACCUAAGCCUUACUGAGAUAAUAUAUGUGAAGCAUUGUCAGCCUUCCAAAAUGCUAUAUAAAUGCUAGGUAUUAUUGUUAGUAGUAGUCAUAUAUCUUGGGAAGUACCAGAUAUAGGCAGUACCUUAGGCCUCCUGAAGCCUAGAAUGACCCUCCAGACAUGAAACAGUACGUGUGCUUGGCUCGUGGUCAUUGCUCCAUACUUUGUUGACAGAAGUAACAGGCUGGGUUUUUGAAAAUGGGCCAAGCACCAUAUGGUGGUGCUGCUGCUUCAGUCUGGGCCAGGACCAAUAUUUUUCUUCCAGAUUGCUGGCUCAGUGGAUUUUUUCUAAGCAGGGUGCACCAGCUACUCAGUAUACCUUGCAUGUCCCUGAAUUUGUUGUCAGCUUUGGAGGGCAACCAGGCUGCGAUCCUAUACCUGCUUACCUAGGACUUAACUUCUGAGAAGACACGCUUAGGAUCGUGCUGUCAUUGUCAAGUGUGGUGCACCUCCUCUCCUCUAUCUUAUAUGCAGUUGUGAAGGCAAUUUGGGGCAAUGGUCUAGCAUAAGGCAAACGAACAUUAAAAUGAAAUUGCUAUUUUAUCUCUCAUGGAGACAUGAGACUGAGUUGCACGGAGCUUUGAAGCAAUGCAUCCGGCAGCUCUUAGAUGCUCACCAAAAGGGUUCCAUUAAGAAACGUAGCCCACUUUAUGAGGUGCGGCACCAGUGCACAUCACUCUACAAGAAGGCUGGACUUGAGGGACAUCUCCUUGGGGCAAAGAGAACCUAGAAAGGCAAGAUGGUGCUCCUAAGGAGUCGGGUGGAGGGAGGGAGAACAAGGACUUGCACCAUCUGUGCCUUAAUGCUGUGCUCUAGCCCCUAGGCCAUCCCACCUUUUUCAUCAGAUAAUAGCAGCAGUGACUUAUUCCCCGUCUGACAGAAGAUUGACCCUUUCAGCUCAGCCUCCCCGUGGGUUUAACUCCUUCCAAAUAGCCCACGGCCAGGCUCGCUCCGUAGGCAGCGGGGGAUGCCCCCCUCCCCUCUGCUAUGCAGACGGGUGUGCGGGAAUUGGCUGCACAGCUGCCUGGCAGGGAAGGAGCCAGCUCGUCUGGCAUCGAUUAGGUUUCAUGUGAAGCUUUCAGACCCUGGGUAACUUCCCGGGGAGCUGGGAGGAAAGAAGGGGAGACCAUGGUUCUUGGGGGGGGGUAGCUGGGGUUUAGGCUGGAGAGAAUCCCAGAAUUCGGGUGGGGGGGAGGAGGAAUGGGGGCAGGAUAGGGAAGGGUGGGAAAUACCCCGUGGAAGUGCCAGCUGACAAAGGAGGGAAUUAGACCAGUCAAAACAGUUCAAGUGCCAGAUCACCGUUCAAGUGCCAGACCAAGUCCAGAGUGGGGACUUACUAGGAACAGGGGCAACGUACCACAAUGAUACCUGGCUCAUUUUUGGUUUAUUCCAGCAUCUUUUGUAAGGUGUCGGGGCUUAGGCCUGGGUGGAACACACACACACACCCCACACACUCGGGCCCCCACACAUUGGAAGCCCCUCUUACCACAUGAAAACAGCCCUUCCUUUCAGAAUUGAGAGGAAGGCAAUCCAUACAUUCAGUGGCACUUCUUGCUAUCUUUUAAGUCUAGCACUGAAAACAAAUCCUGAGGCAGAUUCCCGGCAAAAAUGAAGUGCUCUUUAGUACCCUGGCCUGUCUUUGAGCCUGCUUAAUUCAUGAUUUGGUGCCAGGCAGCUCUGUAGAACUCAUGUAUCUCCUAAAGCCUCCAUUUUCAGCAUCCACCUGGUUUGUUACAACCUUUUUAAUGAGACAAUUUAUACAGUCCCUGCACAGCUGAGGGAAACCUCUCCUAAUUUUCAGACCACAGAGCACCUCUUUAUGUCAAACCCAGACAAGAUGGCUUUGCCGUAGCUCCCUUUUCUCAUUUACCCUUUCUCUUUGUUUCCUUUUGGGGGUUGGUUAAAGUGUGGCAAGACGCUGCCACUGGUUUGUACUUUUCACUGCAUAAGGUUGGUUGAAAUAUUUUGAGUCGGAAUUGGGAAUUGCCCAGAUUAUUGCUGACUUCGGUUUUCUCCUCUUUUUGGGCAAAGUUGUUGACAUGGGGGGGAGGGGCAAAGGGUUUUUUUUGAGUUUUGCCCAAAGCUGUUGUCAUGAGCUGCCAUACAUCCAGAUUUUCCUGGACAUUUUGCCGAUUUCCACACAGACACUGCUAGAGACAGUAGUAUUCCGGAUAUGUCUGGGAAAUUUCGGACGUAUGGCAACCCUACAUUGUGAGAGGAUGGCCAUAUUCCUCUUCUGUGCUUUACUUUGUUUUGAAAACAUGAAUGCGCCCCUCUGCUGGAAAGACACAUUGCCUCCUAAGACCCAAAAUAAUUAAUUAAAUAAUUUCUAUAUAUUUCCAAUAUUGAACGAAUGAACAAGUUUACAACAUGGUAGGGGCAUCAUGGAAAAGGCAAGAGGCACUAGAGGUGACGCAAACUAGAUUCCAUAGACGCCCCCCAUGACAUUUGAAUAACCACCUUCCAUGCGGCAGUUACAAUCGAGUGGAUGUGUUGGUUGGAAGUGGGGGGGGGGGAGCCAUAUUUUCAUACUAAUCAGACAUUGACAUUUGCAUGCUGUGAAUAUGCAUUUUGUCUGCAACAGAAGCACUACUUUGAGGGAAGACAUUUAGAUCUCAGGCACCAAAUGAGACUAAAAACUGUCUAUUUACUGAGCAAAAUAAAGACUGGCUGGGAUGACUCCCAGUGACUAUCAUUCAGUUUGGAUUGUUGUCUCUGCUUUGUUAGGAGAUUGCUUGACCUCGGCAACUCUUGGGUUCCAAAGGAUGACAGGCCAAUUUGCAUUCCACCUCUCCUCUGUCAGGAGUCUUUGGGUCACACAGGAGAGUUGACUGGCAAUAUCGGACCCUGUGCCCAUGCCAGCUGCCAUCUGGCAGAGAAUGGCCAGUGGAGACUGGGCAGAUGCUUCAGCCACCCCCUUGUGGUCCCCAUUCAAUUUGUAGCUCCUUGGCAAGUGUGCAGAUGUUUUUCUAAGCAAUAAUGUCAUGGAAACCUUCAAACACCUGGAUCCACAAGUGCACAAGGAGCUUCAUGAUCUGUUAGUCAUUAGCAGUUCAUCUCUUGGGCUGCCCUUCACAUGGUUUAAUAUUGUGAAGUUGUAGGCAUUUUCAGAAAGCUCCAAUUUUUCAACUUAGAGGUGCUGAUAUCUUAAAGAAGGCUGCAUUACAACACUGAAAAUCUAUUGACAACUCAAGCAACAGUUCUUGAUCAUUGACACUAUGUGGGUCCUUGUGAUAGUUUUUUCUCAUGCUAACUGUGCUGUAACAACAUUUCUUUACUACCAAUCGACACAAACUGCCUCUAGUAGUUCCCUUCAAUGAAUGGUCCAAUCUGUGGAAAUGCAAUAGUCUCGCCUAGAUUAUUUGACCUGUGGGUCGUCCCCCCCCCCCCGACACCUGAACAGGGCCAAGAGCUCAGAACCAACUUUACAACUCAGUGGGACUUACUUCUGAUUAAACCUGUUAAACCAGCUAGCAAAGCCCAGUCUGUGCACCCACAUUUUAUUUUAUGCUUCCUUUCCACAGUUCAAACCAUGCUCAAGACAGCUUAUAAUAUGAAAAAACACAUAGCCGCAACAUAACAAAAAUAGUCCUAAACAAUAAAUUAAAUAGCAAAAAAAUACACAACUGUGUUAAACAAUUUCUAUGUAAGCCAGAAGGUCUAAAAUAACAAUACAUAAAACCAACAGCAAUAACAGCAACCCCACCACCACCGACCCCCCCCCCAAACAACACCCCAGCCCAUGUUGUUCCCUAGGAUUCUCAUACAAAGCAUCUCUAAUUUAGCAGUUCAUAUGAACUCAGCACCUCCAGUGCAGCACGUAAACCAAUCACAAUGCAAUCAAAAAUGUACAUUUAUUUCUAAAUGUCCUGGAGAUUCUAAGUGGAAACAAAGGAGACAACAGGAAGCAAGGACGUCAUAAAGAGUGUAUCUUUUCCAAGUAUAAUUGUAUCUAAGUUUACUCCCAUAUUGAUUUCAGUGGUAACUAUUUCACCUUUGAUUCAUUUACAUUUCCAAUCCAAUGUAAUUACGCCUGAUUUGCAUUGCUUUCAUCUUCCCUGCAUUUCAUGCCAGUAAAAGAUGUUGCAGUUUACUAACACUCCAUUGACCCUCACUAUCUAUUUUUACUGCAGUUGUGCAAAUCUGUGUGGCUUCUUGUGGCAAGAAGAUAUCUUCAUUAGAUGAUAUUUCCAUGGAAAAAGAAACCUCCUGGGGAAUCACAAAAUCCCCAUAAGGCCCCAGAGCAGGUUACAGCAAUUUAAGAAUAUUAAAAACAGUUUAGAUGGCUAGAUGGCUUUAAAGGGGGAGUUAUUUUGACAAAUUCAUGGAGGUCAUGGCUACUAGCCAUCACAACUGCUCUGUAUUACCUCAAGUAUCGGAGGCAGUAGUCCUCUGAGCAUCAGCGCUGCAGAUCAUGCGUGAGAGAACAAUAUUGCCCUCUUGUCCUAUUUAUGAGCUUCCCAUAGGGAUCGCCACUUGGCCAGUGCUGGAAGCAGGACGAUGGACUAGAUGGGCAUUUGGCUUGAUCCAGCAGCUAGGCUCUUCUUAAAUUCUUACAUUAAAAACUUAUUGUUGGCAGCACACAGUUUAUGCCCAACAGAGCUGCUGGAUUUUCUAUGAACCCACCCAGUUUCUGAAAUCUGGUAGAGAAAGCCUCUUAACAGCCCCAUGUCCACCUAGUGUGUGAUAUGUGUUAACAUGAGAGAAGGUAUUAUCAAUCACAGCACCCCAUGGAUUGCCUCUUCAGAGAUUUGGCUGGUGCCAACCCUGCUGGGCUUUUAGAUGCCUAUGGAAGGCCUAUUUAUUUAUCCAAGCCAUUGGUUAAGAUUGAACAUUGAGAAGAACCCAGUAUUCUGCAGUUUUCCAGUGGUUAGUUUUAGAUCUGGGAUUUUUAAUGAAGAGCAAGCCAAAAGUGCUUGAAAUAACCACCAUUUAGGCUACAGCUGAUAGAAGCGAACUACUUGAUAAAUGGUCACUCAGGAGUCAUUUCCUAUACUGUAUCUAGGAUUGCAGCCUUAGUCCCUACUUGUAGGGUUUGUCCCCUACUGUGUCUAGUCCUGCUGUGCAGAGCGGAGUCAGGUGAACUGCCCUAUCUAUUGCUGCCAGCGCAAGGAUUAGCGCGACAAGUUAAAACUCUAGUUUAUGGACGAUACCGAACUCCCAAAGCUUUCGUUUUCUACAGACAUCCUUAUCAGUGUCUAAAGCAACCCAGCUUAUUUCUUCUCGUGGUUACUUCAGCGUUCAGGUUCUCCUAGGCUUCUAUCAGCUAAAUUGCAGUUGAAAACCAGAAUAAUUGAAAUGAAAGCCUAGAAGGAACUUGCAUUUAUCGGGACUUCUAGACUUGCUCCUUGGUAUGCAUCAAUUAAACAGCGAGAUUGCUGGGAGGAAAAUCUAACAGAAGUAGGCCAAAGUAAUGCCAGAAGGACAUUUACUGCCCUACGCUACUAAAUAAGACCAUCUAUGCCUUUGGAGGGACAGUAUUCAGAAAAGCCAUACACCCAGAAACCCUUUGUAUUUGUGGUGCUAAUUGUACCGAAGAUUUACCACUUAGCGCUGCAGCACCAUUUUGAUCAGAAAAGGCUUCCUUGAGCCAAUUCUAUGUUAAACCCUGUACUCGGGAAAAAAUAAAGUUACAGUUGCAUGGAACAGAGCGUACAUUCUAAUUGUUACAAACCGGUACUGACUCAAUGUUGGGAUUUAACAAACAUUUUCACACAUACCUGAAAAACAUCCCCUUCGCCCUUUCUGGCAAUUUUUCACACUCCUUUGCAAACGAAUGUAAAACCUCUCCCUCGGUCCACGCAGGAUGUGCCCUUGGAGGAAAUUCUAACAUAACCCUCACAGAAGAGCAGUGUUGCAUGGUUCAAGGUGUGGUAUGCCGUAUCACUAGGACAGAUGAACACAAGCAUAUUCUUACCGCAGGUAGUGGGUGCCCCUUGGUGUGUUCAGGCACUGCAAGACUUACUCAAGGGCCAAGAGGGUCCACUGGCAGAGAGGUCAACUGUAGAUGGAGCCAGAGCCAAUGGCAGGCCGAGUCAACUAUUUCUGGUUGGGCCCCCAUCCUCCCGCUUGCUGAAUUCUAUAAUGGCAAGACUGAGAGUAAAGAGAAGCAAGGUGAUAGCCAGUGUUACCUUUUGGGCAGGAUCUAAGUAAGAAGGCAGGCAGGAAGGCAGGCAGGUGGAGAUUGGCUAAGGGCAGAAUGAGUUGGGUGGGGCAGUGCCCCGUUUGCCCCAAUAGACCAACCUUCAUUGGUCAUGAGGAACUGCCCAAUAAGGGAGCUCGAGUGAAGUUGCAUGGGCUUUAUGAACAUAGUUACGUGCUUUGUUCAUGGUAGAUGUACUAAAGGAAGGGCAGAAAUAAGUUGGUGAGGUAUGAGGCUGGACUGAUAAGGUAUUUAGUGCUGGACCAGCUGCUGUGUGCUCUUGCUUCUGUGGCUUGUACCUGUACAACAUUCUAGGAAAAGGUAAGAAGCAACAUGGCAGGUUCAAGGGACAUGGAGGCAAGGAAGAGGAAGUGCAGAAUUCCAGGGCGAUGUAGAAGGCAAAUAAAUGAAUCCAACAGGUUCUCUAGUGGUGGGAGGUGGGCAAAGCCAAACCCGAUUGAUGACACUUUAUAAACCAGCCCUAAGACAGGGGACUCGGCUAUACAGCUGCAAAUAAAAUGUUUUAAGUGUGUUUUAAGUACAAUAUACAAUGUGACACUAGAUGGCGAUGGCGAGCCUUACUGAAAAUUCAAUGUGUUUUUAAAAACGCUUUUAAAAAAGCAUUUUCAGAACGGUUUUUAUAUGUGUGUAGAUUCCACCAGGGUGAUAUGACAGAUAACCCCACACAUCACAGAGAAAAUGUUUCAGUCUGCAUCACAGAACUGUAGUCAGAAGAGACCCUAAGAGUGAGCUAGUCCAACCCUUGCAAUGCGGGAAUAAAGGAGGAGUGUUUUGUAUAACAUAAUCGGAUGUCCAUCAACAAUGUUGUAACCGAUGUAUUGCUUACGUAUUGUAUUUUUUGUGUAAUAAAAUGCAAAAUGUGUGAUAAAGCUGUAGUGCAGACGCAGUUAAAAUAUAAUUUAGUUAGAGUGCAGCUCUGAUCCAUUCAAAUCAGUGGCGGUUUCAUCAUUCACUCCAGCAAGAUGUGGGUUGCUCUCCUUUUUUGACAAACAGUCCCCCCAAUCUUUUCCCGCAUUUCCCCCCAUGGAUGGGCCAAGUUCUAUGAUCCAGCGAUUAAGUGGUUGAUGGGUCUGGCUUCCCUCUCCUACUGUCAUUCCAUCUCAUUUCUCUCUCCCCCCCCUCCUCAUUUAUAUAUUCCUUUCUUCAAGAAACCUUGACUCUCAGCAGGAAAAAAAUAGCAAAGCAAAAGCAGCAUCCCCUCAGCAGAAGCGUUUAAUGACAGCCUGCAUUGUGCGUAAUGAACCACCCUGCCUGUCUUCCUACUUUGCCCAUUUGUGCACACUCUUAUUUGGGAGGGGGGAGCGGGGGAGGGGGGAGAACUACCAGGAAUGGCAAGCCACAAAUCAUGUUUUUAAAAAUCCUGAAAUUCUGGGGGUAGGGGGAAGCAGAAAUAGGUUUUUGGAUGGCCCAUAAACAUAUAUUUUCUAGUUUUCUACUGCAACUUUACAUAGAAAACAUCAAAAACCAAGUAGGGGGGAAAACCCCUAAAUUUUAUCUAUGUGAUGCUGGUGAUUUCAGGCAUCAUAAAAUCUCAAUAGUUCCAUGCAUACAUUGUAUACAUUGUUUAUUAUUAUUAUAACUAUUAAUAUAUAUACCACAUUAUUAUUAUUAGUUUAUAUACCACUUCCAAUCAGUUUGCAAGUUCAUAAACCAGUUGCACAAAUGUUAAAAUAGAAAUACCCAUAAUUUAAACAAACAAUAGAACAAUACCAUUACAACCAUUAAAACCAUGUGUAAUUUCAUCAGCUCCAUUCUGGGCAAGUUGAUCAGAGGCUAUAGGCGCAGCCACUACUUAUGGCUCUUGUUAAGACACUGUUGUGCCCUGCUAAAAGCACAAGAAGUGCCCAGGCAACUUUCUCCCAAGGAUACCCCUGUGCUAACUGCUUGGCUUAGUCUAGUCUCAUGAUUAUCCCUGCUGCCAGAAUAGUAAUUAACCUUUACACCCUUGGCAACGGUGUAUUACGUUGACAAGUGCACGGAAUGGACAGUAUCCCAUACAACCUAAUUCCUUAAUGCAGCAGUGUAAGGGGAAAAUAAUACAGGAAUGUGCAUCAUGCAGUAUUGUGCAGUUCAUAUUAAAGGCUUAUAUACUUUCACUCUUGGGAAUGGUGUAUGUAUGUUCUCAAUGCACAGACAUACACUCUUGCAGUGACACAUGCAAAAGUGCAUCUUGUAUUAUGCUUUGUGCAAAUACUUCAUUUGGUGUUUUGUAGAUAGAUUGUGUCAAGAGACAGCAAACAAAGAAACACUAUAUGUAAAAUUACAUAUUCAAGAACAUUUAUUUUGUACAUAAAACACUUUCUGACACAUAAUUACUCUUACUUUGUACGCACAAAGUAUAGCUCAUCGCAUAUGUGCGUGUGCACACACACACACAACAAAAUAUGCCAUUGCUGAUCAACACAAGCACACACACAUAAAGAAUAACUAGGAUACAUGUAGUUACAGAUAAAAUAUUCAACUGUGCAGGCAUGGUAUGCCCAGAGUACACAGGAAUAAGUGCACAUGGUAAAAUAUAAAACACAGCUCUGCCGACAGAUGCAUAUACCCUGACUGUGUACUACAUAGCUACUUCAUCUCCCCUUCAUCUCUCUCCACUCCAACGCAGUUGUCCCAGAAAUGGUGAGGUGUAGAUAAAUAUUUUAUCUUUCUUUUUGUUUGACAGCUGAGUAGGAAUUUGUCAAAGUUUGAAUUUUAAUGUGAAAAGAAUAUUCUGAAAUGCAUCUAAUUUAAAGAGGCAGCUUCAGGUGUAGGUGGCAACAGAACCCAGGAGCUUAGAUUCACAGGAGCUAAGCUACAAUAUGUGUGUGUGUGUGUAUUACACACAUACACACACGCAAACACACACAGGUCAGUAGAACGCUUAUCACGGAUGUAACAGAACAGCCUACCAUUUUCACUUUAAGAGAAACUGUCCCAAGCAUUCAGUCUAGGAGUUUAUCCAUUUAUGCCCCCGAAUAACCGCACAGCAACAGGUGAGUCACUAGGAAAAAUUCACAUCCACUCAGUCAAGCCAUGCAGUAGUUGCUACUUCAUUGCAAUAACAUGAGUAAAGAGCAAAGCAGCUUCUCAUCAAAUGUACAUUCAGUGACCACGUGCACGAAGAUGAAAUUAAAUAGAGCAGCCCAAACCUUUUGAAAGGAAGAACAGCUUUGAAGAACACACAAUGAAGAAAUAACAACAACAAGCAAUUAUAAUUAAUUGAUUGAUUAAUAAAAACUGCAAGUGAUCAACGAACAGUUGGCGGGAGUGGGUAAAGCCAAGAAUUCGCUCUGUUCUCAGGGAGAAGCAGGCGGCUGGAAUGCCUGCUUUACAAUCUGUGUGAAUUGUGAGGGACUGGUUGGAGGAACGGGGUGCUGAGCCAGGAUCCCCAACUAGUCAUUAAAGGGACAUCCUCACUUUUUGCUUUUUCUGGGGCUGCAAGUGACCCAUAAAGUGAGUGGUGACAGAACCUACCAGAUAAGAAAACACUGCAGGGCUGUUGCAGAGUAGUGGGGCAAGGAAGCAGGUGAGAGUCUCUUUCCUGAGCAUUCCCACUUCUAUACAAUCCCUACCUGACUCUGCACAAAAUAAAAAGGGCACUGCACUGCAACCUUCUGCCAAAUAAGGAAGGAGAUAGCAUGCUAAAACCCAGGGGACUGAACCUGAGAUUCACAGCAUGUGAUUCCAUUCCUUGCAACGUACACCUGGUCAUAUUUUGCGGGAACACCUUUUAUAAUUUCCACUCUCGUGAUGUUGGGAUGGUGGCCUUGGUACAGAAUUUUGCAUUGCCUUGUUAUGACCUUGUAAAUCCACAGCUAAGCUUCUCAGGUCGGAAUGAUCAUCUAGCUAAGAAUCAGAGAUCACAAUUUAGUAGCAGGUGUUUUUUUUAAAAAAAAGGUUGAAGUGUGGAAGAUACCUGUCUAAGGAAAAUAUUUGUACUAAGCUAAUAACAGUUCCUUUGUUCUUUGAGACAAGAAGUUUGCCAGCUACAGCAGAAGCUAGAAAGCAUAAAAAACCCAGACUCUUCACUUGUGUACAUGUUAAGUUCCCAUAAUGGGUCAAACAGGAGCUAUAGGUGAAAUUUUCACUGUGUGUGUGUGUGUGUGUGUGUGUGUGUGUGUGUGUGUGACGGGACAGUGCUGGGAGUAAGGGGGUCACCUCCCUGCUUCCCCAUGCUUCAGUCUCUCGAGUCUGAAUUUAAGGGAUGGUGAGGCUAUUAUAUGCUAAAUUCUUAAUGCAGGUAGUCAGACCAGGGAGCUCCAGUGUCACACCUAAUUGAGUACUCAGUGUGAAAUACAUUUCACAAUUCUCAUCUGAGUAUUGUGGUUUAGUAUUGCAUUUUUAUUGGUAUACAAAGUCUGUGGCUUUUGUGACUUCCAUUCUUUAAUUGCUGAAAACCAAAUUUGCCACCUUAGUUAUAUCACUGUGUUGGCCUAUUGUGACAUGGGACCCAACAUUGCCAUGAUAUAUUUGCAGCACGAUUCUCAGUCACAGAUAGAAUGAAGUAGCCGUUAUAAAGCAAUGGAAGUUCUUUCCCUGUCCUGCUAAUCUUUUACCUGAAAUCUGGAGUGCUACAGAGAGCAGUCACUCUGCUUUUUAUGCUGAGCAGCUACCAAUAUUUUAAAAUGUCUCUACAACUGGGAACAAUGCCACAAUUCUCUUGCCAUGUGGUCAAGGAACAGUCACUGAGAAGAAUUUUAAAGGGCCCCACACAGACCCAUUCUCUACACAGAAAUAAUUGCAUUCCAGUAGAGACCCAGUAUGGCGGGGACAUUACUCAGUAACGUAAGCAGCAUAGUGAUUAAUUCAUUUCUGGCUUAGUGUGCAACAAAUUUCCUUGCGAAUUCUCAAGAAAUCAAUUGAUUUUGCUGUAUGCUAAAAUAUAUACAAAUAUAGUUCCCUAAAGAAGAAUUGCGCUAUCUGAGAAUAGCAGAUUGCUUGUUGGCCAACACCAACUUAUUAAUAGAGUAGCAGCAACAAUCAAAACUAACCACCUAACGACUAGGGAUGAGGGAGAUAGUCAAUUCAGUUUGCAUUAAAGGUAAACCUUCCUAACCUGCGCUUGGGCCAGGUUUUAACUCAGUUGUUGCAUGUAUGGAAUGAGGUCCAUUCACACAACCAUAUUCCCCAAAUCUGUUCUGGAGGGUUUGGGGAAACCCCUGAACAGGUUUAGGGGGCAGGCAGGGGACAGGUGAGCGGCGGGGGAAGGUCUUGCUGCAUGAGCAGACCUCGUUCUGUGCAUGUAUACCCCACUUAGUGCUACACUGAGUUCCACCCCAAACACAGCCAUUCUUCAAAACUUGAAAUGCUCCUAAUUUUGCAAUGCAGUUCUCCACCCAAGUAAUAUGUACAGAAAUGUAUAGGCUAAGUAUGCAUAAAAAUGCAAAGUGAAAAUAACAUGUACAAAAAUUUAGGGGAACUGGUUUGCAAUUUCCCCCAAAAUUAUAUUAGACAAAUUGUAUUAUAUUAGACAAAUUAUAUUAUAUUAGACAAAAUUGCAUAGAAAAAUGUGUAGGUUAGGAGAAAAUUUCAGUAAAAUGCUGAUGAAUUCUCAUGAGGACCUUUUUAGAAAAAUGCAAACUGAUAUGGAAAAGUGGGGAACUGAACUUAAGAGUGAAAAAAUGAUAAACUGAAAGAAGCUGAAGUUGAUAGGAGUUGGCUCCUAUGGAGCAGGGAAAUAGGGGUUCAGAUGGUCCCUAAGAUAUGCUGGACCUAAGUUGUGUAGGGCUUCAUAAAUUAAUAUAAGGACCUUGAACCUGGCUCAGUAGUAAAUGGGAAGCCUGUGCAGAUAUUCUACACUAGCUGAAGCUUCUGCACUGGGCUCAAGGGCAGCCGCACAUAGAGCACAUUGCAGUAAUCUAAUCUCUCACCCUGGUCUAAGGUAAAGUAUAGGAUAGUUCAGUUAAACUCUUGAAAUGCAUCAGAUUUCUAUACAUAUCUGAGUUUCACAAAUUACCUUAACACUUUCCCCUCUGGCAAAGAGAUCUAUUCUUCACUUAAUCCAGGAAUGACAAACCUGUGGCCCUAUAAGGCUUUUAAAUGUACCAAUUUUGAAAAUGGUGUUAUUAAUUGAAAGAUUCAGGUUGUCUGAUUAUUAUAAGAUUAAUAGAAUUAAUAAAAGCUAAUGCUGAAAUAGGUAACAGGGCAUAAGCUGACAAUGGAAGAUUCCUGGAAUUAUUAAGAGCUGAUAUCUAUAGCAUCACAGUUGUUCAGAAAGAAGUGAGAAAUUGCCCAGUACAAAAAAUGGAAAGAAUUGUGUGUCUGAGGGUUCUGAUUUUUGGACAAGAGAUAGGACAUUUUAUUUUAAGUGACCCAGUUGAAAAGGGUGGUGGUUCUGAAAAGGCAUGCUAAAACAUGAAAAUAGGCGAUGUUAGCUAGUUUUGGACCAUCAGCAGACUCCUGGUGGAUCAUGAAAGAAGGGGUUACACGAGGGGUUGUCAACCUGGCCCCUACUGCCCACUAGUGGGCAUUUCAGGAUUCUAGGUGGGCGGUAGGGGGUUCUACGGCACAAGUUGAAUCCUUCCAUCGAGCGCUGGUGGGCAGUAAGGAAAUUUUACCAUCAAGAAAGAUGCAUUAGUGGGCAGUAUCCACUACCCCUGGUUUACACGGUAUCAGAGAUAUGAAUUGUCCAAGCAUGAAACCUAAAAUCUUGGCAUCAUUGAAACGGGACCUAAAUUAGUUUUUUGAAACUACCUUUUUGAAACCUUUUUGAAGCUACCGUAUAAAGGCUAUGUAUUAAGCUCAAGGAACACUAUUCUCUACUAAUUGAGGAACCCCACCUCCAGGGAUGUAAAAUAGGGCUGCCAUAUGUCCAGAGUUUCCCGGAUAUUACCAGGAUUUCAAAGGAUUUCAACAACUUUUGAGGUGUCCUGGUUUUUACUUUUUGAAAUAUGGCAACCCUAGAAAUGUUCUUCUGACUGAGGGAAGCCCCACCUUCAGAGCUGCCUUCCUCAACUUUCAAGCUUUGAGACAGGUUUGGGGUGUUGCUUUCAGGGAGCAUCAAGGGGGCACUAAGGGGGAAGCCCUGUUGUGCAAGCAGAAGGUCUCACACAGGGCUUGUGCUGAUGGGGUUCCUUAAAUGAAUCCCACCCAAUAGCUUUAAUCCCUAACAACCCUCCAGAUGUUGUUUGGUUCUGGCUCCUAUUGUCCCCAGCCAGCAUGGCCAGUCCUCAGGGAUGAAUGGAGCUGUAGUCCAGGAACAUCUGCAAGGCCACAGGUCUCUCAAUCCCACUUUAAUCCAUUCUGGUAUAUAAACAUUUCUUACUCCAUUAAUAAUUUGAUUAUUUCAAAGUGCUAGAAAGAGCAGUGCUAAGCUGUUCAGUGCCAUUUUCAGGGCUCAGAGGUGCCAUUUUUUUCACUUCUACUGUCAAGUAAUUUACUACGUGGAGGGGAAACAACAACAUAACAUGAGUCAAUGUGAAAACACAACAUAAAUGUCAAGCUAUGCAGUAAGCUCUGGUAUUACAGUUUGCAGUCAUUAAGCUACAAAUCACAUAUCAACACUGUGUUUUAUGCAUCUUUGUUUCACUACAAUUAUAUGUCCUGGGAAGCAACUGACAAGAUUGAGCAUACUGCAAAAUAACAGAUGUGCAGUCCUCACACAUGACAAUUUACAUACCAAUAGCUUGUUUCCCUGUAUGGAAGUGCCAGGGUCAGUAUCACAAUGCUGUUGGAAUCAGGAUUGGAUUGGCAGGUGGUGACACAAGAGGUAAGAAGAAGAAAUUGGGGUGGGGGCUAAAUGGUGGGAACCUGAGUCAGAGGAAUGGGGAAUAUUCCCUUUUCACCCUAACUUCAGCCACUUCAGAAGGGGGAGUGGGGGUGCUGGCUCUGCUCCCCUCCACACUUUCUUCCCCAGCAGAGAGCCUCAGAGGAGGCUAGGGAGGGCUUGGAACAGCCAAGGGAAGAGGAGGAACUGGAGGCAGCAGCAACUAAACAGGAGCCUGAAAAGGAAGGUUCAGUUUUGUCACCUUGGACCAGUGACUGCCUUCUCAGAUGGGAGCAGACUCCCCUCCCCUCAAAGGCGUGUGCAUUUGCAAUCCUGACAUUUGCACAAAGUCAGCGAGUUUCACAUGUAGGCACACCACAUCUUUAAAAGCUGUUGGAACAUCUUCAUUGUUUCCAUCCAGUUCUGAACUUCUGGCCCCUGUUCUUCACCUCCUAAACCAUGACGCCUGAGCCUUGUGUCUGUUACUAAGCCUGUACCAUGAUUUGCCUGAAUAAAUAUCUAUUUCUUACUUACAAGUAAGAGUCUCUGCUUGUGUGUUUGGGUUGGGAAAGAUACCUGUCUUUCGGUUUGCAGAUUGUUUCAAGGAGUGUGAAUUAGAUAGUUUCUCAUUAAAAUGCAAACAAAAUUGAAUUUCUCCUCCAUCCCUACAUCUAUGGGGGUGUAUGGCAACUUCAGGUGGGUUCCUGGACCUAUCCUUUGAACUACGGUAUUUAUUCUGAAGAGGGACAUGAUCAAGGGAGCUGACACAGCUUCUUACAAUGGGAGAAGGUACCUGCCAUGAAUAAGCCCCCAGCUCCUCUGUGCCAGAGGUCCACCGGGACUGCUUUGAAUAUUUUACAACUUCCUUGAAUUAUUAACUAUACGUUACUGACUUAAUUGAAGGGGGAGUGGCUGCGGUUCCCUCGGGACAUGUUGGUGGGGGGUCUUGAAGACAGCUAAUGUGUCUGAGGCCCAUGAAUAAAGGAUGGCAGUGCUGUGUGAUGAGGUGUUGGUGAUGGCCCCACUUCCCCCAUGCUAGGAGGGAAUUGGGACAGGGAACCAAAAGGGCAAGGAGACACCAGCUGCUGUGACAGAGGAGAAUGGAGCUAUAUCAAGCCAUCUGCUUCCUCCCUCUUUCUGUGAUGCAAUUAGAUAUUUGGUCCAAUGGUGGGGAAGGGAGAGAACUCCUGAAUAUGUUAGCUGAUGGAUUUGAAAUGGUGGUGAGGUGCAUAUGUGUGUGUGUUUGUGGAGAGAGGAACCAAAGCGCACCACAGGAGGCCAUUGUCCUUUGUUUCAACUUUGGUAUCGUGCUUCACCUCUCAGAUGUGAGUUAGAUGCUCAGUUUGGGUAAAUGAAGGAGGCACAGCUUGAGUCUUGCAGUCUAUGGAGAUUCGUGGAGUUUGUCCCUCAGAGGCACUUUCCCUUCAUGGUUUCAUCACAGAGAGGGAAUAUAUGUCCGUGCCUAUCUGCCCCAGUGAAUCACUUUUGGGGUUCUAAGUGCUGAAGGGGUAAGUGGGUCUUGAAUGGCAGCCUCCUUAAUCUCCUGCAUCACAAGCAUUCUGGGCCUUUAUCCAGUCAGUCAGUCAGGCUAGGCUCCGUGGCACAAAGGUGACUUCUAAGCUGCAGCGCUAUCAUUUGUGUUCUCUCCUUUCUCCACAGCCUGAAGAUUGUCUGCUGACCUCCCAAAGCAACGGAGAGGCACCGUGCCCCAUAAAUCCCUUCCCUCUGGGCUAGUCCUGAGCAGCUUGUCUCACUGAGUAGCAACGCAGGCCCCCCUCAAAGAUGCCUCAUGGCACCUCUCCAGACUGGUAUUUGACCUCCAGCCUGCCCAUAACUAUGUCUUCUGCUCCCUCCAGCCCUUGGUUUCCUGAUAACCUUGUCCGGUUCAUGACCUUCAGCCUAUUCAGGAUUAGGCCUUCCUCCUCUGGCUCACAUGGCCUCUGUCAGAACAUGACCCUGUGGCAGCCUGUCACAAGCUAGGCCUCAAGCCUGACAUUUCCCAGUUCCUAGAUGCGACAGCUGAUGAAGAAGCUCACUUUUAACCCAAUAACGUCUACUGACUUUUCUCCCAGAGAAGAUUUAAUAAGAGAUUUGAUCCAGUUUUACAAGAACCAAAGCGGGUGAGUACGAGAGGAAGCUUCUGCUGGAAGAUGGCUCUGCGACACGGGUGGGGGAAUCCAUUGGCUGCGGAGAACUGGCUGCUCGACAGAGGGGAAUUAACCAGACCAGCUCUGAAAUGUCAGAACAAACUCUCUGUUCAGUGUCUGGAAGAUUAGUAUUGUGCAAAUGAAUAGGUGGAUUUUGCAAACUUUGCCAUGAAAGGUGGAAGGUCCUCCAUCUUUACCGAAAAGAGAUGGGAUUGAAAUUUCUGCCUUGGAUCUUUCUUUCUUUCUUUCUUUCUUUCUUUCUUUCUUUCUUUCGGAAGGCAGGAUAGAAUUGUCAAAAAUAACUGCAGUGUGUUAUAUAUUGGUGGGUGGGGGGUAAGGAAAACAAAUGUAUGAAUAUAAAAUAAGGAGGGCUGUUUAAGCUGUAGAUCUGUUCUACUAAAAACAACAACACAAAAACCUCUAAGGGGUUACAGCGGAUCAUAAGAGCAUCUCUCCACUACCCUGCGGCCACCCUGGAGCUCCUGAAACUUCACUGCCACCACGCUGCACCAUCCCAGGCCCUGCGAGCCCAGCACCACUUCUGCUGGGAAGACAUCAAUGAUUGCCCCCCUCCCAGCUACUGCUGUGUUUCAGACAUAGGGAAAUAAAUUGCAAUAGACUUGAAGAGUAUGCAAAGGUAAUACAGAAAUGUUUCGGAAUGCAUGAUAUCCAAGGAAAUGCUGAGAGAAGAUAGCAUUUUUGGCUUAGGAACAAUACUUCAAAUACUUCAGGGUGCUCAAUGGAUUCCAUGUACAUUAUGCUAGC